UACGUAGGGGGCUAGCGUUGUCCGGAAUCACUGGGCGUAAAGCGCACGUAGGCGGCUUUUUAAGUCAGGGGUGAAAUCCUGGAGCUCAACUCCAGAACUGCCUUUGAUACUGGGAAGCUUGAGUCCGGGAGAGGUGAGUGGAACUCCGAGUGUAGAGGUGAAAUUCGUAGAUAUUCGGAAGAACACCAGUGGCGAAGGCGGCUCACUGGCCCGGUACUGACGCUGAGGUGCGAAAGCGUGGGGAGCAAACAGG
rnacentral:rRNA from 1 species